AUCAUCUAUGAAGAUAGAGAUCCUACCACAUCACUUAGCCAAUCCAUUUUGGUAUUUAGCAGCCUUCAAAUCAGAAUGACCAUUAGGCACUAAGUCUGGGGAUGCUCUGUAGCCUCCCUGGCUGCCCCUCUCAACCCCCUCCUCCUGGUCCACUAUCCAGCCUAUUUACCCUGCAGAACAGUUUGUUUCACAUCCUUUCCUCACCGGCCAGAAGGAGAUUGGAGGAAGUUGGGAGGUUGGCCUCAACUCCCUCUCCCCAUCCCAAUAAGCCCAGCUCCCGGUUGUAAGUGAUCCCCCGGGGCCUGUCUGCUGCCGUGCUUGGAAUCAUCUGCUCCAGUGUGUUUGGCCGUGUAGAUUUGAAGAUAACCUGACACGCUCUUAAAUAUUUCAUCUCUGAGCAGCCGUGCUCCUUAUCUUCCAGACAUCGAGGCUGCAUCCCAGCUGCUGACCCUGCGGUCACUGCUCCGUGGCAGCUGCCAAGAAGUGGCUUGGGCAGACUGGGGCAGACCGGGGCUUCCCUCUUCUGCCCGUUGGUGCUCCAUCCCCCAUGUGCUUGGCAAAGACUCAACCACAAGGAGCCAGGGAGGUGGUGCAAGGAGCCCUGGCCAGCAGAACCUGGGCCAGGCCCUCUGCUUCUCUGAGCCUCAGUUUCUUAGCUGGGGUAACAAUCCCUGACCUUACGAGUGGCUCAGGAAUGGAAGAGGUGAUGUGUCAAGGGUUUUGAAAGCUACUGUGCACUGCUCUGCAAAUGUGAGCUGUUAUUACUUAGGAGCAAAACCUGUUUCCCUGCAACACUGAUUCUCAGAACAUCCGGCCAGAGGAGGGAGACUCCUGGGGACUGGACUCUCAAUCAGAAGUGGUUUAAGGGGUUAACAAGUGAGCCCAUCCCUGUCUUCAUGCAAGUCUGCCAGAAUGAAGGAGUGGAGACCUCUUUAGGAGAGCUGUCCCAGAGACAUGUGAAGAAAGAUCAAGGGGGAGAGGGAGAAGGGAUUGUGGAGCUGCUCCCUGGCCCAGAAAGAGAUGGCCUUGUGGUGACUGGGACUGACAGGCUUUAUCUGCAGGGACAGCAGUGACACUCACAGGCAGCACAUCAAGAUAUCUGAGGAGUCUAACAAGGGUUCAGUCCAGGCUGCCAAGAAGGGAAGUGAGUCCCUAUCCCCAGCUAUAGUCAAGCCACGGUUGGAGGCUCACCUCUCCAGGAUGCUGCUGGGGUGAUGUCUACACUGGAUGAAAGACUGGACUAGCUGUGCAGUCCUGGCCAGAGAUGCUCAGGAGGCAAUCAGCUGCACCCCCGAGGGCACCCUCUCUCCUCCUGCCCACUCACCUGCCCUUGACAGGCAAAGGAGCCCAGUGAAAUGAAGACAAUGCAAGGAUGAGACAGGCGAAGAUGAAGCAGAAUAGUGUCAAGUGCCUGGUGUAUUAAAGGUUAAUUUAAAUAAAAGACCACAGUGAGUUAGAGGUGAGGUCUCCCCCUUUGGGGCUAGCAGACAGGGUCCUGUGCAUUGGCAUUGGUUAUAUAAAUGACACAAUUUCUCUCUCUUCUGUGACUCUGUUUAUCUAUUAAAUAAAGGGGAAAAUCCUCUUGUCCCUCUGGACAACUGUAGAUUUUGAGAUUAUAUCUGAGAAGUACUUGAAUUUCUUAGAAGAAAAAUGUUCUAUCCAUACGAGGAAGUGUGGUGAGCCGCCUCUGCCGUUUAUGCAGACUAUGGUCGCCAUUACAAGAUGG